rnacentral:rRNA from 1 species
AGGACGAACGCUGGCGGCGUGCUUAACACAUGCAAGUCGAGCGAUGAAGCUCCUUCGGGAGUGGAUUAGCGGCGGACGGGUGAGUAACACGUGGGCAACCUGCCUUGUAGAGAGGAAUAGCCAUUCGAAAGGAUGAUUAAUACCUCAUAAUAUUGUAGCUUCGCAUGAAGCAACAACCAAAGGAGCAAUCCACUACAAGAUGGGCCCGCGGCGCAUUAGCUAGUUGGUGGGGUAACGGCUCACCAAGGCGACGAUGCGUAGCCGACCUGAGAGGGUGAUCGGCCACAUUGGGACUGAGACACGGCCCAGACUCCUACGGGAGGCAGCAGUGGGGAAUAUUGCACAAUGGGGGAAACCCUGAUGCCAGCAACGCCGCGUGAGUGAUGACGGUCUUCGGAUUGUAAAGCUCUGUCUUCAGGGACGAUAAUGACGGUACCUGAGGAGGAAGCCACGGCUAACUACGUGCCAGCCGCCGC